CUACCAGCGCUGGUCUUUAUAAAAAGGAGAAAAAAAAACGCAAACGUGGGUUUGGAUCAACCUCUCUUAAACGCUCUUCUGAGUUCUCUCUUAGAGCUCUCUCUAACCGGUGAAACCCAUGAGUUUGGUCACCGGCAAUACCACCACACAAAGGACUUCCCGAUUCCACCGCAGGUUCGACGCCAUCAACGCCGUUUAUCGGAGUUUUGUCAGAUCGGAACCCACAUGGUGAUGGUGGCGGUGCUUUGAUCUGGAUCUUGCCUUCAACAGACUCUCUCAUCCUUUUUGUGGCAGCGUCGUGGAUUGUGGCUGGCCUUUGGAUUUCGGAUUUGGGUAGUGUCAGGAGACUAUGAAGAUCGACGAUGAAGCCGAUCUUGUGAUAUGGUGUGUUUUUUCUGUUUUCUCUUAUGAGGUUGAUGAUAGUCGGGGUUUGAUUUUCUAUGUCGUUUGGCUGAGAUUUUUGCUAGUUUUUUGGGGUUUCUGUUGGGAUUUUUAAAAGAUUUCAUUGGGAAUUUACAGAGAGAUUUAGGUGAGUUGUUUGGCUUGGAUUUUUGCUCUUUUUUUUUUUUUUGGGUUUCUAUUAGUUUGAAAGGGAUUUUUUUUUUUUGUGAUUUUUGCUAGUGUGUUGUUGGAGGUUGAGACAGAGAAAAGAAAUUUUCUGUCGUGAAGGGAGAGAAGAAGAAAAGGGAAAAAAAAAAUUUAAUAAAUGGUGCACAAACGGUGUUAGUAACCAAGGAACAAAUUGCUCAAUUUUUUUAACUUUUAAAUGUGUUUGGUAUUUUCUCAAAUUACAGAGAGUUUUUUAUAAUUUACUCAUAUAUAUAUAUAUAGAAAAAAAUAUAUAUAUACCAUAAAAUUCAAUAUUAGUGGAGGGAAUAAACCCAUAAAGGCCAAGAAAGAAAUAUGAGUAUAGUGUACAAGCAUUUUGUAGAUCACAUAAUAUUAGUGGAUUAUCAAGAAAGAACAGCUCCUUUACCUAAAUCCACUAUCACACACGUGACACAAUAACACAAGAAAUUUGAGGUCCUUAUUGAGUUCUUCAAAAGUUUAAGGAACAACCGUUUCUAUGGAGCUAAUCAGACGAAGAUCCGGUUAAUGUAUGUCCCAAAACUACAUAUUAAGUUUUUUAUUUUUAAAAAUAUUUUUUUGAAAAUUACAAAUAGUCAAUUUUUUUUUCAAUUUUCGAGAAAGCUUUUUUUCAAAAAUAAAAAUUAAUUGUGCUCUUAAAAAUCCAUCAGAUAAUGAUCAUAGGUUCACAUUAGUAAAAUCCAUCAGAUCUCAUAGGGUCCCACUCCCUCCAAUAAUACUGUGUCUGACCAGUGUUAAGUCUUGGUCUGUGCCAGAGGAUCCUGGUAUAGAUUUGAACUUUCAAGACCCAUAUUUUUGUGGGUCUAUGAGCGUUUAAUGCGAUGGUCUCGCAAUUUGUUGAGCCGUCAUUAAUUGGUGUGGUUGAGACUUGAGACUUGUGAGAGAGAGUGGGUAGUUAGAAAAAUGAUGAUAUAUACGGAUUGCAGAGUCACGUAAUAAUGACUAAUUAAUUAUAAGGACCGUACUUUUCCUCCAACCAAUUUGGAAAGCAAAGUUCAUCCACACCCAACUAUAUACCAAUUGAAAUACACAUUCUAUCACCUCACCACCACGAGGAGUCACAGAGCUAUUAAAGAAUGACCGAAUUGAUGAAAGCGAUUGGAUUAACUUGAUUCGAUUAUUUGGCACGAAGCCACAAACAUGGAGGGUGUCAACUCAAAACUGUACAUCUUUAAUUUCAAUGUGAAUUAGAUUAAAUCUCAUUUGGUGGCAGUUGAAAUGUACAUGCAUACAUAUGUGAUUAUCUCGCUUAGAAAUUUGGUGGUUUCAUUCAUUGUUGUAAAAUUGAAAAGUCUAAAAAAUUUGGUGGUUUUAUUCGCACGCGAAAAUUAUUAUUGAUAAUUA